rnacentral:rRNA from 1 species
CGCGUAGGGCGCAAGCGUUGUCCGGAAUUAUUGGGCGUAAAGAGCUCGUAGGCGGUCUGUUGCGUCCGCUGUGAAAACUCGGGGCUUAACCCCGAGCCUGCAGUGGAUACUGGCAGACUAGAGGUAGGUAGGGGAGAAUGGAAUUCCCGGUGUAGCGGUGAAAUGCGCAGAUAUCGGGAGGAACACCGGUGGCGAAGGCGGUUCUCUGGGCCUUACCUGACGCUGAGGAGCGAAAGCGUGGGGAGCGAACAGG